UUAUGGCACAGUCUGGUUGCCUGAAUUACUUCAGUGUAAAUGAUAUCCGCACUCAAAAUAUACAUGGGCAACAGAAGGCAACUACAAAACUCACAGGACUCAAACUUUCUAGGAUCCACUGGGUCACCGCUCAUCUGAAGGAAAUUGUAGCUGUAACUGCUGGUGAAACUGAAGGGGUGCAGAUAUUACCUCCCCUAGGAGGCUGGUUGGGCAUCUCAUAGAGGCUGUACUUCCAGAGGUCCAGAGAAGGGCCAGGGCCCCGGACUUGAGGAUCAAGGACGGGACCCAAGGAUCCUCCUCUUGGGGAGAUAAGCGUUCUCAACAGUGGUGCUCCAGGUCGGGGCUAAGGACAGAGACUUACAGGCAGGCCUGGGCGAAGCUGUGGAUGGAGGACCGGCUGAGCAGCUGUGUCUGAUAGACCUGUCCGUUUCUCUGGGGGCUGUCAGAGGUGGAGGAAAAGAUGAGCGGGCGACAGUCUCUGCAAAGAACAGAUGUGUCAAAGGUCCGCACCAUUUACAUCAACGAACCCUUUCAGAACACUUUCUGCAACAACUCCAUCAGUGUUAAGACAGAGUACGUGGCAAGUGAUUCUGUGGAAAGAGGUCCAGAAAUUGGUUGAGGCAAGAAUUUUGACACCCUGCUUUUUCUAGCUGCCCAGGAAGGGCCUGUCAUUUUUAAGAGGUAUGUCUUCAGCACGUAGCACAUCGUAAAUGCUCAGAUGGUUUGUCAAAGAAUCAGUACAGGAGAGGAAACCAUCAAGGACUCAAUAACCUUUCGCUGUGUAUUGUUCCUAGGAUUUACAUCUCUCUCUUUCUCCUAUUUGCGUAUUAGAAUUCAUUCAUGAAUUUAUUGAGUGCUUACUAGACAAUGAGCAGCGAGCCCUGGGGGUUCAUCUAAGAGUGAGACAGGCGUUUUCUCCGCCCUACGUGACUCUCACAAACCAGCAGAGGAGGACAGACCAUUAGGCAAGCCGUUACAAUGCGACAGCGUAUGGAGGACGCAUCAACGCAAGUAUAGCAGGAGCAGUAGGUGUCAGCCUUGGCACCGCGCACAUUGCGAGCUGGGUGAUUCCCUGUUUUGUAGGCUGUU